CGCGCUUCCUAGUGACGCAGGCGGCGGGGCCGCGCACGCACGGGGCUGGGAGGGCCGGACACUUAUUUGGCGCUCGCGGAGGAGGAAGGCGGGGCCGUGAAAUAAGGCCCGACGGGCCCCGGGGCGCGUGCGCGGACCGACACUGUCAGCUCCUAACGCCGCAGGUUCCUCCUGGUCCCCGAGGCCCCCGGUCGGGCGUUGCCUGCCCCGCGCGGGCGGCCGGGCCGAGGGACGAUGGUCAGUGGACGGACGGCGCCAGGGAGCAGUGCCCACGCGCGGCAGGGCGGUACCUUCAGGCCUCCAGGUACGGGCGCUCCUCGCCCGGACGCUGCUGUGUGUGAAUGGGCGCGAGGGGACUCCCCUGCGGGGCGGACGCCUGAACACGAGGCUGUGGAGGAGGACGCUGUAGGGUGCGCGGACUCACGCGGAACAUGCCAGAGGCUCAGCCAGCCACGGCGCUCCCAGCGUGGAGGGCGAGGGGCAUCCGGGAGCGGCCGGGAGGGCUCGGUCACCCCUCAAGCUGUCACCCCAGUCCCACAACCAGCACCCCGAUCCUAUCGCAGUCCCACAGCCGACACCCCGAUCCCACCCCUGCCCAACAGCCGGCACCCACCCCAAUCCCAUAGCUAACACCCCGGUCCCACCGCUGUCCCACGGCCGGCACCCCGAUCCCACCCCAGUCCCGCAGCUGGCACCCCGAUCCCACCCCAGCCCAACAGCUGGCACCCACCCCGAUCCCACCGCUGUCCCACAGCCGGCACCCCGAUCCCACCCCAGUCCCGCAGCCGGCACCCCGAUCCCACAGCCGGCACUCACCCCGAUCGCAUAGCAUAGCUGAUACCCCGAUCCCACCCCAGUCCCAUAGCCAGCACCCCGAUCCCACCCCAGUCCCAUAGCCAGCACCUCGAUCCCAUAGAUGACACCCCGAUCCCGCCCCAGUCCUAUAGCCCGCACCCCGAUCCCACCCGAGUCCCGCAGCCGGCACCCCAUCCCACCCAUGUCCCACAGUCGGCACCCCGAUCCCACUCGGAUCCGGCAGCCAGCUUGGAUCCUGUGGCCCUCCUCCAGCCCCCAGGGCUCAUUUAUAUGUUUUAUUGGCAGAGGCUGGGGCUGGCUCUGUUGGCCUCUGUGCUGGGUUUCUUCCUCUGCACCGCAGGACUGGCUCUCCUGACCUCUCCAGGUGUCAUCGAACACCCUUGUGCUUGCUGUCACCCGCUGCCUGUCUGCAGGAUCCCGGAUUCCGUAUCAGGGGACCGAAAUUAGUCGGAAAAUAGGAAGCAGGUGCUCGCUUGGAUGGAACCCUGACCCUGUGCUCACACUUGUAGGAGGAGGGCUCUGCAGGCCGCCUCCCGGAACGGGAGGUUCCCAAGCCACUGCACUUCGGAGGGGCUGUAAUUAGAGUUGCACAUUCAUUCAGUUCCCAGUAAAGUAGAACGUGCUCCAGCCAGUGAGGAAAAGGUGUUUUUAAAAAUUAGAUUGGCCGAGUGCGGUGGCUCAUGCCUUUUACCUCAACACUUUGGGAGACAAAGGUGGGAGGAUCACCUGUGGCCAGGAGUUCAAGACCAGCCUGGGCAACAGAGCCUGUCUCUGGGGAAGAAUAAAAAAAAAAAUUGAGCCUUUGUCAGUGCUACUAUUUUAUUAUCUGGUAAAUAUGAGAGGGUUCACGCGGUCUAUGUGUGUCAUUUAUCUGAGUUUGCCUAUCGUCACGUUUUGGAAAUAAAUGUCAAUAAAGUCG
rnacentral:lncRNA from 1 species